rnacentral:rRNA from 1 species
GGCGGACGGGUGAGUAACGCGUAGGAAUCUGCCCAGUAGUGGGGGACAACCCGGGGAAACCCGGGCUAAUACCGCAUACGCCCUACGGGGGAAAGCGGGGGAUCUUCGGACCUCGCGCUAUUGGAUGAGCCUGCGUCGGAUUAGCUUGUUGGUGAGGUAAUGGCUCACCAAGGCGACGAUCCGUAGCUGGUCUGAGAGGACGAUCAGCCACACUGGGACUGAGACAUGGCCCAG